rnacentral:misc_RNA from 1 species
AACUGCGAUAAGUAGUGUGAAUUGCAUUUAGUGAAUCAUCGAAUCUUUGAACGCACCCUGCACUCACUGGUAUUCCGGUGAGUACGCCUGUUUCAGUAUCAUUGAAAACACACAAUCAAAACAUUUUCUUUGGUUUGAUUGGCUUUGGGUCUAUCAAAAAGUUUGGCUUGUUUCUUACAAGCCAAGCGGCCUGAAAUAUAUUGUCUGGCUAAUUGCAUCGUUGAUGAUCGCUAUUAGACUUUGGCUUUUUUAAAUGAACUGGAGGUUGAUUAACCAGUUUUAGCUUUAGUCAAAUGGUCAUUGUAAAAAAAAUCUCGACCUUGGCUAGGUGUUUAUAGCCGAAAAUUUUUUUUUUGGCUAUAACCGAAACCAAUAUAAUCACAUUUAGUUAUCGAUCUGAAAUCAGGUGGGACUACCCGCUGAACUUAAGC